GACGAACGCCGACGGCGUGCUUAACACAUGCAAGUCGAACGGUGAAAGGGAGCUUGCUCCCUGGAUCAGUGGCGAACGGGUGAGUAACACGUGGGCAACCUGCCCCAGACUUCGGGAUAACGCUUCAAAGAGGUGCUAAUACCGGAUACGAACUCCUUGGGCAUCCUUGGAGUUGGAAAGUUUUUCGGUCUGGGAUGGGCCCGCGGCCUAUCAGCUUGUUGGUGAGGUAACGGCUCACCAAGGCGACGACGGGUAGCCGGCCUGAGAGGGCAACCGGCCACACUGGGACUGAGACACGGCCCAGACUCCUACGGGAGGCAGCAGUGGGGAAUAUUGCGCAAUGGGCGAAAGCCUGACGCAGCAACGCCGCGUGAGGGAUGACGGCCUUCGGGUUGUAAACCUCUUUCAGCAGGGAAGAAGCGAAAGUGACGGUACCUGCAGAAGAAGCACCGGCUAACUACGUGCCAGCCGCCGCGGUAA
rnacentral:rRNA from 1 species